rnacentral:rRNA from 1 species
AGUGAACGCUGGCGGUAGGCCUAACACAUGCAAGUCGAACGGCAGCACAGUAAGAGCUUGCUCUUACGGGUGGCGAGUGGCGGACGGGUGAGGAAUACAUCGGAAUCUACUUUUUCGUGGGGGAUAACGUAGGGAAACUUACGCUAAUACCGCAUACGACCUACGGGUGAAAGCAGGGGAUCUUCGGACCUUGCGCGAUUGAAUGAGCCGAUGUCGGAUUAGCUAGUUGGCGGGGUAAAGGCCCACCAAGGCGACGAUCCGUAGCUGGUCUGAGAGGAUGAUCAGCCACACUGGAACUGAGACACGGUCCAGACUCCUACGGGAGGCAGCAGUGGGGAAUAUUGGACAAUGGGCGCAAGCCUGAUGCAGCAACGCCGCGUGCGGGAUGACGGCCUUCGGGUUGUAAACCGCUUUCGCCUGUGACGAAGCGUGAGUGACGGUAAUGGGUAAAGAAGCACCGGCUAACUACGUG